UACCUGAAGGGCUUUAAUGAGAGACAGUGCCCUUUUGUCACCCCUACGGGAACCCUAAAAGGCAGAGCCGGCCCCAGUAUGGUAAAUUGCCAGCCGAAGAUAUGUUGUUUCCAGACAGAUUUGUGGAGAAGAAGAAGCAUGUGUGCAUUUAAUUCUCUGUGAUUCUAUCUACCUGGUCUCUCAUGUACUUCUGCAAAAAGCCAGCCUCUUCCCCCAUUCCUCCAGUCGGGAAAAAGUGUGUGCCUAGAAGUUCUGCCCUUUUGCAGAUGUGCAUUGUGAGUAUCAGUGAUGUAUUUUUAUGUGGGUGGAAUUGUAGAGGCAGGAACAAAGUGGAUAACAUUACAGAUAACCUCGCAGUUAAAUAACAGACUGCUCACAGCUGGUGGCAAAACUGUGGCUGAGGUAAGGGGGUGAAUGUAGAAGAGCAUGGAUGUGUAAAUGAACGUGUAUGGGUAAAUUUGUGAGCAUGGAUGUGUAUGUGUAAGUGUGGAUGAGCAUGGGUGUGUAAAUGUUGGAAUGUGAGCAUGGAUGUGUAUGUGUGAGCAUGGGUGUUUAUGUGAGUAUUUGUAUGUGAGCGUGGAUGUGUGUGUGCGUGUGAAAGCGUGGAUGUGUAUGUCUGUGUGUUUUUGUGUGAGCAUGGAAGUGUGUAUGAGCAUGUAUGUGUAAGUGUGUGGGACCAUGGAUGUGUGUGUGAGAGUAUAGAUGUGUAAGUGUUUCUGUCUGGGAGCAUGAAAGUGUGUGUGAGAGCAUGGAUGUGCACGUAUGUUUGUGUGUGAGCAUGGAUGUGAAAGUGUGUGAAGAUGUAUGUGUAAAUGGUGUGUGAGCAUGGAUGUGUAUGUGUAAAUGUGUGUGUAAGCAUGGAUGUGUAUGUGAAGUACAGUACCCUGAACCUGGGUGACAAGGAAACGAAAACUGUUCAACUAUGACUUCCUGUUUCAUAUGGGUAUAAAUAUUAGGUCAUUCAUCAAAAUGACCAAGGAAUAUAUCUGUACGGCAAAAGGUUUUUUAAGCUUUAAAAAAAUGAGAAAUAGCUAUUUUCUUGUAGCCAAUGCAGUGAAAAUGCUGAUUUCCACCAUCAGGGCAAUAAUUACCUUCCAGUCAAUUGCAAAUGUUAUGAAUCAACCCAGAAGAGGACGUUUGUCUAUAUUGUCUAAAUGCACUGUGAAGAUGAUGGUUUAAGUGGUUGAAAAAUCUCAAAGGAUCGCAGCUGGGGAAUUCCAGAAGUCAGCUGUGUCUCGGGGAUCAGAAAGUCUCCAAAACUGCAAUCUGACAUCACCUACAUCACCACAAGUUGUUUGGAAGGGUUUCAAGAAAAAAGCCUCUACUCUCAUCCA